rnacentral:misc_RNA from 1 species
GAUGAAGAACGUAGUGAAAUGCGAUAAUUAAUGUGAAUUGCAGAAUUCAGUGAAUCAUCGAGUCUUUGAACGCGCAUUGCGCCCCCUGGUAUUCCGGGGGGCAUGCCUGUCCGAGCGUCAUUGCUGCCCUCAAGCACGGCUUGUGUGUUGGGCUUCCGUCCCUGGCAACGGGGACGGGCCCAAAAGGCAGUGGCGGCACCAUGUCUGGUCCUCGAGCGUAUGGGGCUUUGUCACCCGCUCCCGUAGGUCCAGCUGGCAGCUAGCCUCGCAACCAAUCUUUUUAACCAGGUUGACCUCGGAUCAGGUAGGGAUACCCGCUGAACUUAAGCAUAUCAAUAAGCGGAGGA